GGGCUCGUAGCUCAGCGGUAGAGCACCUCGCUUACACCGAGGGAGUCGGCGGUUCGAACCCGUCCGGGCCCA
rnacentral:tRNA from 1 species